ensembl:lncRNA
GACAAGAUGACCUUUAAAGGUCCCUUCCAGUUCUAAGGAUUCUAUAAUUGCAGACCUUAUGCAAAUGGCAUCCUGGCUUGUAUCAGAAAUAGUGUUGCCAGCAGGAACAGGGAAGUAAUUAUUCCCCUGUACUCAGCACUGGUGAGGCCGCACCUUGAGUACUGUGUCCAGUUUUGGGAUCCUCACUGUAAGAAAGACAUUGAGGCCCUGGAGCGUGUCCAGAGGAGGGCAACAAAGCUGGUGAGGGGUCUGGAGCACAAGCCUUAUGAGGAGCGGCUGAAGGAGCUGGGGUUGUUCAGUCUAGAGAAGAGGAGGCUCAGGGGAGACCUUAUUGCUCUCUAUAACUACCUGAAGGGAGGUUGUAGUGAGCUGGGAGUCGGCCUCUUCUCUUGUGUGGCUAGUGAUAGGACUAGAGGGAAUGGCUUCAAGCUGUGCCAGGGAAGAUUCAGGCUGGAUGUUAGGAAAUCCUACAUCUCUGAAAGGGUGGUCAGGCACUGGAAUGGGCUGCCCCAGAGAGGUGGUGGAGUCACCGAGCCUGGUGGUGUUCAAAGAGCGUUUGGAUGUUGUGUUGAGGGACAUGGUUUAGCAAGAACCAUUGGUGAUGGGUGAAUGGUCGGACUGGAUGAUCC